rnacentral:lncRNA from 1 species
GAAAAUCUUCUUACCUAUCUGCAGCACUGUAACUAGAAAGUUCCAGAGGAUAGAAAGAGUGUGACAAUAAGACUCAGAGCAGGGUCCCAGCCUCCUGGAUAAAUUAUUGUUUAGCAUCUAUUUAUGAAGUGAACCCAUAACCAGCGUUCCUCAAGAAAAUGAGUCAGUAGGUUUUUAUGUUAUUCAACCAAAGUAAAAUGGAAAAAGGUGCAAGCUGUAUGCAAAUCUGUGUCAAUUUAAGGAACAUAAGUACUAUUACAUCAUUUUAAAGUGCUCAGAACUUUCUUUUAACCACAGAACAUAUUAAUAAGGAAAGAAAAUGCAUGUUUAGGCCAAUAGAAUUAAAAAGGAGUAGUUUAAUGACUCUCAGAAUCCAAAACUGAAUAUGAAACACAUUUCAAGCUUUGGCUGACGGUAAGAGGAAAGUCAAAAUACCUGGCCUGAACUCCAGGAUCACCUAUUUAUCUUAUUUGGCUUAUGCCAUGGCAAGUUACCUAACUUUCCUAAGACUUAAUUUCAUGUCAGGCUUAUUUCACAAAUUUGUUGAAGAUCAAAUGAAAUAUAGGACCCUGGGCUUCUGCUCUUGGCUAUGAUGCAAUAGCUGGUAUCAGAUUAACUAUCUUACUAGGAGUAAUUACAUAAUGUGAAUAAAAUGAAAAAUACAGCUCUUUGAAGGUAUCAGCAUGCAAUUAAGGCAGCCAGGACUUGAGGGGCCAAGUUCCCGGAGGGAGGAGAAACACACUGAGGUGAGUUACACACUGCUCUGCAGUUGACUCAGGGAAUUUGCCAAUUCUCUACAUAAUGAGAGUAAAAUACAAUGGCCUGGAGCUUGCAACAGUUUCAAUGAGCUGGGAACACAGAGGUUGGAGUUCAGGACCUCCAAGUCACCAGAGACUUGAGACCAAGGUCCAAGAGAAGUGUAAUUUCUCUUAAAGAUAUUUUCCAUCUCUCAUGCUCAGGUUGAGACACCAACAAGUCAAAUGGAAAGCAAUGGCUAGACCAGCUUCCUCACAAGAUGAUCUCAGCACAGCAUUCCUAAAAGGUCUAAGUGGAGGCUGCAAGGUCUUUUAAGACCCAGCAACAGAAGUAAUGUAAAUUUCACUUUCCCUGCACUCUUCUAGUUACAGCAAAUCAUAAGACCAGCUCAGACUCAAUGGAUGGGCAAAAAUCUUCACCUCUGGAUAGGAGGACCUACAAGUUUUAAUAGUAUAUACAUAAGCUUCCCUCAGGCGUUUCUUUGUAGUGCAAUUUAAAAACUAAACAAAUUGCUGUGGAAAACAUUUAUUUCCUCUUACUGAGAAACUAUUAGGUUCCCAGUGUGGUAGGAGUUCCUGGAAAUACUGCCUUUAAGUCCUUCUGGCUGCUCCCUUCCCUCCUUUGGGUAAUUAUUGCUAAUUACCUCUAGGUGUUAGCAAUUAAUACCAAUUGACCUCAGCUGUGCACCCUCAGGCUUUGGUAUCCUACUACUCAUAUCCUUUAAAACCAAAUAUUUUAAAAUCUCUUGUUUGCCCCCUUUGACCUCUUUUGUAGUUCUUUUCAGAGCUCAAUUCUAAGCAGUUUGGUGGGGCAAUUAGGGUCUGUCUGUAAGAUCUCCCAUGGGAGAGGAUUAUUUUUGAAGCAAUUUAGUUUGUCAGUGACAGUAGGAGACAGAACAAGAACCUAAUUAAUAAGAAUUUGAUUUGUUUGUGGACCAAACCUGACCAAAGCUGAGAGGACUGCUUUUCUUCCUCUGAUCUCUCAUAGCCCUUUAUUUAGACCCAUUUGAUGGCAAAUUCACUUUUAACUUGUAUUAUGCUUACUUGUGCAAUGGCAGUUCUCUCCUAGGAGAUUUUGAAUGCCCCGAGGGCAGAGUUCAUGUUGCCCUCUGCCUUGUAUCUUUCAC